AAACACUACAGGAAAAAGGUAAAUCUCUCUCUCUCUCUCUCAUUUCAAGAGUAAACCCCGCUCUCUCUCUCGACCUCCCCUGCACCGCCGCGAUGAUGCCGUACGAUGUUGAUUGCGGGCUUUGCGGCUUCUGGGGCGUGGUCUAUGUUGUUGACAGUGGGUUCUCAAAGCAGCGGUUCUAUAACCCGAUAUCAGAUAUUGAAAAUCUGGUAGUGGCACCAAUAUCCAAGGCUUCUGCUAGGCAAAGGACCGGUAGAGCUGGAAGAGUUCGGCCUGGGAAAUGUUACAGGCUGUAUACAGAAGAGUAUUUUGUAAAGGAAAUGUCUGCUGAGGGGAUUCCAGAGAUACAAAGAUCAAAUCUUGUUUCCUGUGUGAUCCAGGCAUGCUCUGCUAUUCCAAUCUAAUGCUCUCCAUGUGUAGUAGACCUCCAUCUAGAUGUCUCAAAUAUGACAUGCUGCCAUCCCAUUAGUCACUAUGAACUUUGGAAUUAAGCUAACAAAUUUUCCAGGAUCAUCAAUGAUAUUGUAUUUCAUAAAGAUUUUUCUGUAUGCAAUAAUUUGAUGUUCACUAAUAUGACGUGAGAGUUUUUCCCACAUUUAGAUUCUAAUAAUUGUUUUCUUGCAUCCCAGUUAAAGUUGCUGAGUUAACAUUGCGGGUUCCAAGUUAUCAGAAGAAGAGGCAGAGAAUAGAAAGCUCUGAGAGGACUGGAUUUGCAGACUGGCUUUUUUCACCUUGAGGCAAAUUAUCUAGUUUGAUGGUUAUGUUUUUGCCUACUUUGAGUUAGUUCUCAAACAAUAAUGUAAAUAUCGAAAACUCCCUUGUUUUUGUAAUCCAAGAAUUUUGCUAGAAAUGAAAAGAACAUCUUGCUAUGAAUUAAAAGUUUUAAUAUUUUCGA